UAAUACGUAGGUGGCAAGCGUUGUCCGGAAUUAUUGGGCGUAAAGGGAGCGCAGGUGGGAAUAUCAGUCUGUCUUAAAAGUUCGGGGCUCAACCCCGUGAUGGGAUGGAAACUAUAUUUCUUGAGUGCAGGAGAGGAAAGUGGAAUUCCUAGUGUAGCGGUGAAAUGCGUAGAUAUUAGGAGGAACACCAGUGGCGAAGGCGACUUUCUGGACUGUAACUGACACUGAGGCUCGAAAGCCAGGGUAGUGAACGGGAUUAGAUACCCCGGUAAUCCUGGCCGUAAACGAUGGGUACUAGGUGUAGGAGGUAUCGACCCCUUCUGUGCCGGAGUUAACGCAAUAAGUACCCCGCCUGGGGAGUACGGCCGCAAGGUUGAAACUCAAAUGAAUUGACGG
rnacentral:rRNA from 1 species